GGCUGCCUUUCACCCUUGAAAAUUCAGCCUCCGAGGCUCCAGGGAGGUGAGGGGUGAGUCAGCUCACAGAGACUCCAGACAGGCUCGGUGAAGAGGACACUGGAAAAACGUAGACAAUUGCAAUCUGCAGUCCUUCUCCAGAGCUCCAUGGCUGCCACCACUUUUUCUCUAAAAUUUAGCUCAAAGGCUUCACCACGCUUCUGCGGGAAGCCUCCCCGGCUCCCUUUCUGUGCUGAUUGAGCAAAAUAUGUGGAAAGCAAAUUUGAAGAUCCUAUUGGAACAAUGCAACAUUUGGAAAUCUUCUCCAAUAAAAUCUCCUCUUAUCUCUACAAUCAGAAUAAAUCCUUCAGCGUUGGGAAGACAAAAUCACUUCUCAUCUGUGCCUAAGCAUGGAAGUGCUCUUAAAGCACUUUUACCCUUCUCUCUUUUCUAGUUUUUAUCAUGGUUCUCCUAGUAUUCCAGGCUGGAAACUGUUAAUUAUAUUUAACUUUUCAGCCUCCUCUGUCUCCAUUAUAUAAUGAAUUACCAAGUUCAAUAAAUUUUUCUUGCUC
rnacentral:lncRNA from 1 species